GACGAACGCUGGCGGCGUGCUUAACACAUGCAAGUCGAACGGAAAGGCCCUGCUCUUGCGGGUUUCUCGUGUGGCGAACGGGGGAGUAACACGUGAGUAACCUGCCCCUGACUUUGGGGUAACUUUAGGAAACAGGGGCUAAUACCGGAUAUGAGCUCUUGCUGCACGGUGGGGGUUGGAAAGUUACGGCGGUUGGGGAUGGUCUCGCGGCUUAUCAGCUGGUUUGUGGGGUAGUGGCUUACCAAGGCUUUGACGGGUAGCCGGCCUGAGAGGGUGACCGGCCACCUUGGUCCUGCGGUACGGCCCAGUCUCCUACGGGCGGCAGCAGUGGAGAGUAUUACGCAAUGGGCGGGAGCCUGAUGCGGCAGCGCCGCGUGCGGGAUGACGGCCUUCGGGUUGUAAACCGCUUUCGCCUGUGACGAAGCGUGAGUGACGGUAAUGGGUAAGGAAGCACCGGCUAACUACGUG
rnacentral:rRNA from 1 species